UACGGAGGGAGCUAGCGUUAUUCGGAAUUACUGGGCGUAAAGCGCACGUAGGCGGCUUUGUAAGUAAGAGGUGAAAGCCUGGUGCUCAACACCAGAACUGCCUUUUAGACUGCAUCGCUUGAAUCAUGGAGAGGUGAGUGGAAUUCCGAGUGUAGAGGUGAAAUUCGUAGAUAUUCGGAAGAACACCGGUGGCGAAGGCGGAUCUCUGGGCCAUUACUGACGCUGAGGCGCGACAGCGUGGGGAGCAAACAGG
rnacentral:rRNA from 1 species